GUGGGUAUGGCCUAGUUGGUUAGGGCGCCAGAUUGUGGCUCUGGAGGUCGUCGGUUCGAGUCCGAUUACCCACCCCA
rnacentral:tRNA from 2 species